GUGUUCUUUUUCCACAGUUACGUGAAGAGUCUUCUUCUUUGAUCUUCUAUACAUCUAUGGAGUUUCAGUGUCUUCAAUACACAUGAAGAAUGGCUUUGUGAAUCUUCGAUCUGGCGUUCUGUCUUCUAUUCAAAUAAAGGGUAACGUUUCUCCUAAUUGAUUUAUCCUCUUUAUCAUGCUCCUUAAAUCCAUCACCCUUCUUCGAGCACGAUCUGUUAUUGAAGCCACAUUAUUCAUCCAAGGCGGUGUCUCCACUCCUAUAAAAGUCCGGUCAAUGCUCCUCCACCUUUCAAGUGCGGUUGCUAGGUUCUGGGAGGCCAAGAACAACAAGCUUGGGCUGAUGGGCGUGGAUAUGCUCUUUUUGGAUUUAAAGGAUUUCUUUAAAAACCCAUGUUCACAGUUCUUGAAUUCAUGCCUUGAAAGACAGCCAAGAAGAUUUCAAGAAAAUCAUCAGAGCGAUCAGUGUUUGAAGCAAAAUAAAGAAACAGCUAAGUAAUCUAUCCACACAGAGAUAGUGUUCUUAAUCUCCCAAUCAAUAGUGUGGAAAAUAGUUGUAGUGGUAAAUGAGGUGUUGUUGUGAAGAACACUGUUACUCUGUUUCCAAAUAUGAAACACGACAGGCCUGAGUUACCAUUUUCCGAGGAAGGAGCCGGUGCUUCCAUCCCAUAGUAGCUGCAAAAGCAGAAAUAGUAUUAACAUUGUAGUUGUUGGCUUGAUUACUUCUGAUCCAUGCUAGCAGUUCUGACCAAUUCAUAAACAUUUCCAAUGUUCCGCUUAUACGUAAGAAAACCAGACUCCAUAUAUCUGAGCUAUAGUCACAGCUGAGAAGAAGAUGAUCCCGAGAACAGAGGCAGCUUGAUGUGAAAAUGGUUCAUUCGUUAAGUGAGAGGUGCUCUUUUUUUUUUUUGUCACAGAAGUGAGAGGUGCUCUAAGUUGUUUUGUUUUGUAUUGAUACAUUUUUUUUAAAUUAAUACAACCCUUCAUUUUUGUUGACCAAA